rnacentral:rRNA from 1 species
UACGUAGGGACCAAGCGUUGUCCGGAUUUACUGGGCGUAAAGAGCGCGCAGGCGGCUGGUCAAGUCCGAUGUGAAAGCUCCCGGCUUAACUGGGAAAUUGCAUCGGAAACUGAUCGGCUGGAAGGUGGGAGAGGGUAGCGGAAUUCCCGGUGUAGUGGUGAAAUGCGUAGAUAUCGGGAGGAACACCAGUGGCGAAAGCGGCUACCUGGCCCAUUCUUGACGCUGAGGCGCGAAAGCUAGGGGAGCAAACGGG